GUCUUUUUGAUUUUUUUUUAAAGUCUAACCUGCCCAGUGAAUAAUUUAACGGCCGCAGUAUACUGACUGUGCAAAGGUAGCAUAAUCAAUAGUCUUUUAAUUGAAGGCUUGAAUGAAUGGUUGGACGAGAUAUUAACUGUUUCAUUUAAAUUUAUAAUAGAAUUUUAUUUUUUAGUCAAAAAGCUAAAAUAAAUUUAAAAGACGAGAAGACCCUAUAAAUCUUUAUAUUUAAUUUAUUAUAAAUUUUUAGAUUUCUUUUUUUAUAAUAAUUAUAAUAUUUUAUUGGGGUGAUAUUAAAAUUUAAUGAACUUUUAAUUUUUAUUUUACAUUAAUUUAUGAUUUAUUGAUCCAAUAUUAUUGAUUAAAAAAUUAAGUUACUUUAGGGAUAACAGCGUAAUUUUUUUGGAGAGUUCAUAUCGAUAAAAAAUAUUGCGACCUCGAUGUUGGAUUAAGAUAUAAUUUUAGGUGUAGCCGCUUAAAUUUUAAGUCUGUUCGACUUUUAAAUUCUUACGUG
rnacentral:rRNA from 1 species